rnacentral:rRNA from 1 species
CGGGGGGCUGCAGUGGGGAAUAUUGGACAAUGGGCGCAAGCCUGAUCCAGCCAUGCCGCGUGAGUGAUGAAGGCCCUAGGGUUGUAAAGCUCUUUCACCGGUGAAGAUAAUGACGGUAACCGGAGAAGAAGCCCCGGCUAACUUCGUGCCAGCAGCCGCGGUAAUACGAAGGGGGCUAGCGUUGUUCGGAAUUACUGGGCGUAAAGCGCACGUAGGCGGAUCGUUAAGUGAGGGGUGAAAUCCCAGGGCUCAACCCUGGAACUGCCUUUCAUACUGGCGAUCUUGAGUUCGAGAGAGGUGAGUGGAAUUCCGAGUGUAGAGGUGAAAUUCGUAGAUAUUCGGAGGAACACCAGUGGCGAAGGCGGCUCACUGGCUCGAUACUGACGCUGAGGUGCGAAAGCGUGGGGAGCAAACAGGAUUAGAUACCCCGGUAGUC